CCUACGGGGGGCAGCAGUGGGGAAUAUUGGACAAUGGGGGCAACCCUGAUCCAGCCAUGCCGCGUGUGUGAAGAAGGCCCUCGGGUUGUAAAGCACUUUCAGUGAGGAAGAACGCCUGGUGGUUAAUACCCAUCAGGAAAGACAUCACUCACAGAAGAAGCACCGGCUAACUCCGUGCCAGCAGCCGCGGUAAUACGGAGGGUGCGAGCGUUAAUCGGAAUUACUGGGCGUAAAGCGCGCGUAGGUGGCUUGAUAAGCCGGUUGUGAAAGCCCCGGGCUCAACCUGGGAACGGCAUCCGGAACUGUCAAGCUAGAGUGCAGGAGAGGAAGGUAGAAUUCCCGGUGUAGCGGUGAAAUGCGUAGAGAUCGGGAGGAAUACCAGUGGCGAAGGCGGCCUUCUGGACUGACACUGACACUGAGGUGCGAAAGCGUGGGUAGCAAACAGGAUUAGAUAGCCGUGUAGUC
rnacentral:rRNA from 1 species